GUCUGUGACCAUGCCACCCUGAACUUGCCUGAUCUCAUCUGAUCUCAGAAGCUAAGCAGGGUCAGGCCUGGUUAGUACUUGGAUGGGAGAAUAAUCUGUAUUUUGUUGUUUCUGUAU
rnacentral:rRNA from 1 species